rnacentral:lncRNA from 1 species
GUAUGAGCAGACCUUCCCUGGGUUACGAAUUGAGAUGGGAUGAAAAUGCUUUAACUUCGAGUGUUUUGAAGGAUUAAAUAACCGAAGUACAAAGUAGUAGUAGCGGAGACAGUAAGGAAGUCGGGCGUGGCGGCGCGCACCUGUGGUCCCAGCUACUCGGAAGGCUGAGGGGGGAGGAUCACUUGAGCCCAGGAGUUCGAAGCUGCAGUGAGCUGUGAUGUGGCCACUGCACUUCAGCCUGGGCGACAGAUCUAGACCCCAUUCUAAAAAAAAACAAAAACCCCAAACCCACACCCACGAAAGGGUAAUGUUGGCAAGAAGUUGGGUGCAGAGGUCUACUGGUGAACAUCUGUGGGGAAAGGGUCUAAGGCUGGGAAGCGAGACGCCAGGUUCCGAUCCUGUUGUGUAGUUAAUUUCUGGUGUGGUCUUGAGUAAGGUACCCCACCUUUAUCUGUAACCAUCUAGUCAGGUGAUCUCUUUAGCCAUUCCAGUGCCCGGGCUCUAUUAGAGUUAGUUCUAAGGCAUUCAUACUUCUUGCUUAGGGCGUUUCUGUCUUUGAUCCCUCAUCCCCAGGUGCUAGUGUAUGAGUUGUUGGGAAAGGGCUUUCGAGGGGGUGGGGGCCAAUGGAAGGCUCUGUUGGGACGGCACCAGGCGAGGUGUUGAGUUGGCUCGGCUCAAGGUUCUUCGGGGUGUGAGCUGGCAUGAGGACCUGUUGGAAGUGGGAUCCAGGCCUGGUCCAGCCUCCCAGCUGCCUCGAUUUGUGCGUGUGAACACUCUCAAGACCUGCUCCGUUUAUGUAGUUAUUUCAAGAGACAAGGUUUCUCCUAUCAGGGUCGGGCUUCCAGCCUCGAUGACUUACGAGCCCUCAAGGGGAAGCAUUUUCUCCUGGACCCCUUGAUGCCGGAGCUGCUGGUGUUUCCCGCCCAGACAGAUCUGCAUGAACACCCACUGUACCGGGCCGGACACCUCAUUCUGCAGGACAGGGCCAGCUGUCUCCCAGCCAUGCUGCUGGACCCCCGCCAGGCUCCCAUGUCAUGGAUGCCUGUGCCACCCCAGGCAAUAAAGACCAGUCACUUGGCUGCUCUUCUGAAGAACCAAGGGAAGAUCUUUGCCUUUGACCUGGAUGCCAGGCGGCUGGCAUCCAUGGCCACGCUGCUGGCCUGGGCUGGCGUCUCCUGCUGUGAGCUGGCUGAGGAGGACUUCCUGGCGGUCUCCCCCUUAGAUCCGCGCUAUCGUGAGGUCCACUAUGUCCUGCUGGAUCCUUCCUGCAGUGGCUCGGGUGAGAUGGUGAGAAGGCGUGGCUGAGGGACUCAGAGGUCCACAGCAGCUUAGACCUGGAGUCAUCUGUUUUGGUCUUAGUUCUGACACUUUAAUGGGCUUGGGACCCUGGAGCAAAAGUUCUCCUCUGUGAAGCGAGGAUUUCAGGAGCGAGGAUUUCAGGACUGAGGCAGCCUGUGAAGCUGUGUAACCGAGACACGCUUUUCCUUAGGUAUGCCGAGCAGACAGCUGGAGGAGCCCGGGGCAGGGACACCUAGCCCGGUGCGUCUGCAUGCCCUGGCAGGGUUCCAGCAGCGAGCCCUGUGCCACGCGCUCACUUUCCCUUCCCUGCAGCGGCUCGUCUACUCCAUGUGCUCCCUCUGCCAGGAGGAGAAUGAAGACAUGGUACAAGAUGCGCUGCAGCAGAACCCGGGCGCCUUCAGGCUAGCUCCCGCCCUGCCUGCCCGGCCCCACCGAGGCCUGAGCACGUUCCCGGGUGCCGAGCACUGCCUCCGGGCUUCCCCCAAGACCACGCUUAGCGGUGGCUUCUUCGUUGCUGUAAUUGAACGGGUCGAGAUGCCGACGUGAGUGAGUGGGGGCAUGCUUGGGAGGCGCAGGAUGGUACUGGCACAUCUAACAUCUACAUUUCUCUAGCUCAGCCUCACAGGCCAAAGCAUCAGCACCAGAACGCACACCCAGCCCAGCCCCAAAGAGAAAGAAGAGAGCAAAAAGCUGCAGCCGGUGCUUGCACACCGCCUUGCACAUAGCAGAGGCUCCGGGCUCACUCCUUCCUGGUGGGAAAGGAAGAUGCCUGUCCUCUCCGUGGAAGACCCUGGGCCCUCACCGCAGGCAGCAGUUUGCGUUUUGAAAGGUUAUUGGGUCCCUUCCUCGGGCUGUGUUCUUGCUGGUGAGCAAAAGUGUUGCCUGCAGAAAUAAAAUGCAGAACGUACUCUACGAUAGAUCACAGUUUUUUAUUCUUAAUGUCACAAGCAGGAGAAAAAUCUCACAUUCAUACUAAAAAUUCCAACUAGACUCAACAGGAAUGAAGUCUCUAUUUGUAAUGGAAAGUCCCAGCCUCCCGCUGCCGUCCAGUGCGUGUACUGUACACAUCCACACUCAUUCUCACUCAGGGUUCCCGGACCGGCUGUCCUGCCUGCGGAACUGAGGUAAACUAGCUCAGGUACUGACACUAGGAGGGUCUACCUUACAUAAGGUACAGGUAGAAGCUUGAUUGCUAGGCCCAGGCCCACCCAGACCCUCCAAUCCUAACAGGUAUUUAGGCUUGAGGUUCACUCCCUCCUCAGCUGCACACGCAGCCAGGUAUUAACGAGGAUCAGAGCUGUUCUGAGGGGUGGGAAGGAGCAGCCCCGCCACCACUCACUCACCCUCAGUCACAUCGGGGAGGGGGCACCAGUUACAUUUACAUCACAUUAUUUAUAAAAUAAGAAUUACAUUUCAUAUAACAUGGCCAGAAGGAGCUCUAGUCCCCCAGGAAAGCUGCCGGGGACAGCAUUUGAGCCUCUUCUUUGCACAGGCAUAACUUAACUAUACAGCUAAUUCCUAGUUAAUAGCAUUUAUACUUAACCACCUCAAUGAACCAAGCUUGAAGGAAUUUAAAAGGCAAUUUAGCUUAAAUACAAAAAUAAAUUUUUGUUAAAAAACGUUUAAAUAUUUUUUUCUUUUAAUUUAGACACACGCAUUCAUACUUCUCCCAAAGAGGUUGGGCGUGGCAGCAAGGCGCUUGGGCCUGGGGUAUGUGGUUUCAGAAGGACGGAAGGAAAGGAUGGGCUGCAGAGGGCCCUGUUUGGGAAAAAUAGGAUUUUAAAAAUAUGGUUCAUUAAUUUAGGUUUUCUAACAUCUACUUUGGGUGAUGUAGCCUCCAGUGAGGUCAGUUAAGUGGGACAGAAACGGCAGAGGGAAGAGGUCUUUGCUUCCCCUGGGCCCAUUCUCCCUGGCUGCCAGCCCUUGAAGUCAGAACACCAUGGGAAAAUUCAGGAGUCGGCACUUGUAGCCGUCAAGUGGUGCUACUUUCCACAUUCAAUUAGCGAGGCCCCAGAAAACUUGAAACAGGAAGUCCGGCACUACCAACAUGCCGCCACUCAUACAACUCAACUCUUCCUCCAAACUCGAUUCAAAGAGCAAUACACAGAGCAUCAGACAAAGGAACACAGGACAAGGCUUGAAACAUACAAUCCUGGAGAGGCAGACGAGGGCCCAAUGGGGCCAAAGGGUAGCUGGGCGAGGAGGCAGCUGAAGCAGCGGUGGGCAUCCUGCCUGCUCCAAGAGCUUCUCCCUUCACCCCUGGCUCUGCCAGGCUAACAGUCUUGAGCCACCAAGCUCUGAGGGGCCAAACUGGCAGAGGGUUGGAGAUGAAACAUUGAUUCAGGCUUGGCAGGAAGAAAACGGCAGGAGCAGCACCCACUGGGGUCUCCAAGGCAAAGCUAGAUUCAAGGGCAUUUAAAAACGAAGGAAUCCUGCAAGGAACUGGUGAGGGACACAGCAGCAAGAAAUGGGGAAACAGAGUCCCCAGAAGGGACCAGAGGAAGAGAACCACUUCUCACAGCUAAGCCAAGCAAGAUAAAGCUUUACGGAUAGCCCAUUUCCCAAAUCCCAUCAGGUGCACACCACCGAUCCAGGCGGGCUGGACCCUGCCCCCUCCAGCGACGACGGUCUCGGGGAAAGGUGGAAGGGGCGCCUGCCUAAGGGUGUGCUAAGCGGGAGUCAGGGCAGCGGACACUAUGUACAGGUGUUUCCUUAGUUCUCCAGCCUCCCCAGUAGAACUGUUCAAGUAGAGGUCCCGGGCUUUGGCCCUCCGCAUCCUGCUUCCCCUUCCCUGAGGCUUGUGCUUCCUCCAGAAGGGAAAGGGCCCCAGGGCUGCCACUGCCCCCUGGCGGCUGAAGCCAGAGAUCCGGGGUAGGUUUGCUUUACGCAACUGGAAGGGUCCAAGGCUCUUCCUAGCAGGUGCCAAGGUCCAGAUUUAGGGAAGGGGUGGGGGGAACAGGGACAGGGGACAAAGGCUACUUUUUGCGGGUGUGCUGCCUUCGGGCCUGCAGUCGCUGUCGAGCCCCUGGGGUCUUGGAUCCCGCACCAAUGGAAAAUGAAAGGGCCGCCGAUCCUGGAAAGAUUCAACAAGACCUCAUCAGGGCAGCUGCUACCUGAGACUCUGACUCUGGGUGCCCAAAUCUCUGGAAGGCCAGGCCAGUAAUAAAACACAGGGUGCCUCAAUAGGGCUUUCCCCGCUGCAUCAGAAACACUGUACGGGAGAAGCCUCCUGAAAUGCAAACUCCCAGAGAGUCUCAGAGCGAGGCCCAAGAAUCCAUUUUUACCUGGCUUCCCAUGGGAGGCAAACUUCCACCCCGGACAGCUCCUCUCUGAUCUCUGCCAUCCAACUCCCAUCCCUGGGUUGUGCUGGACUCCUAACCCGAAAUGUCUUUCCUGUGCUGAACCUGAUCUUCACCGGGCCUCAGAGGACCAGGAACCUGCCACCCCGCCCAACCCCUCCUCAGACAGAUGAGCAGGGCCACAGGGUGGCUUGCUGCUUACCGAAAGGUGCAACACCAACAAAGCCUUGGGCGGGUGCUGAGGAUGCCCCAAAGGAGAGGCUGCUGCCUGAUGUGCCCACUCCAGGCGCAGGGGUGUUCAGACCAAAGGUGGGGGUGGCGGUGCCUGGAAUGAAGAGAACAGAGAGCUGGCCAGUGAGCAGAGGGCAGAGGCAAGCGAGGAGCCGGGCAGGAGCCUGUGCUCCGCAGGGCACUUCCCACGGGACCCUCAGCCCCACUUCUGCUUCUGGGGCACUCCUCCAUCAGCAGCUGAGCCAGACAACCGAGUCUUCAUGCCUGGUGCCCCAGCUCAGCCUGCUUCUCCCACCCGCUAAUGGCCACGCCAGGGCAGAGAAAAAGCCCCCCUGCCCCGCAGCCACCUCGUGGGCCUCCUGACCAUCGCUGCAGAGGGGAGUACUCUGGGGCCCCCGCCUCCUAGCGUACCUGGGUUGGCUACCUCCUCUGUUCAGGCCUUUUCCCCCAGCCACCGUCCCCUCCCCUCUGAAGCCUGGUUUGUCCGUCCCGCGUCUUUUGUGAUGCCCCGUGGUCCCCUCCCUUCCCCGGCCUUGCCCUGACUGGCUCUGGCUGCCUGCCCGAGGCCCUCUCUGGCAGCCCCUCUGCAGGGAUGGCUGCUCUCAGGGCUUGGCCUCCGGCCCGGACAAGAGGAAGCUCCCUGUGCUCCCACGCUGCUUCCACACUGUUUCUCUUCCUUCCCUAAAUACCGUAACUCAAGUUCAGAUCACUUUAAUCUGCCAUGUCCUCAUGUCACCUGUCAACUGCCAGGUCACUCCCUGAUUCACAGAGGACCCUUGGCUCACUGGCUUCCUUCCCAUCACCACUCACGGUGACUUCGCCCUGUGAGGCUGACUGAUGGUCCUCUCAGCCCCUCAACCCUGCCACCCCCAUGACCUCCUCUCCCCGACCCCUGCCACCACUCCUGCAGCCACACUGUCACCACAACUGCUCCGGCUCCCGAAUCUCCUGUAGGCACCACCCCUCCUGCA